GAGGAUCAUCUAAAGCAAGCAAACUUUAGCCAUGUUUUUAGAUAAUGAGAGGAAAGGUGAUCUGAUAGCAUACAAUGUCCCAUGAAGCAGAAAAGCCAUCAGUUGAAAGAUACCAACAUCCAUGGUGCGAUUCAAUGCCCCUCCUAUUGGAGGUACCAAGUUCAAGCAGCUGAUCAAGAUCGUCCUCGUCAGAAUCAUAUCUCCGUCGCUUUCUCUUCCGAUCUCUCUUUCUCCUUUUAUGGCUACCUCUUAUGAGAUCCUCAUCAUCACUGUCUAGUGCAAUUGAGUUCCCAUCAUUUUGGACCAAUGGGUAAUCAUCAGCCUUGCGAAAUUCUAUUCUGUUACAAGUGAACAGAUGCUCACAAGAAUCAGCUGAUUUGCACCCUUUUGACAAUUCACAGAAAACUAGCCAGGACUGGAUGCCUAUCCACUUAAGUGCGUCCGGAAGUUCUGUAUCCACAAAUCCCUUCAUGAGAGCAAAAUGAUCAGCAUCAGUCAAUUGAUUAGUGCUCUUCAGAAGCUCUUGCAUCUGUCCUUGUUCUUCCUCUUGUUCUUCAUCAUUCAUGAGGCGCCAAAGUUGUCUGCCCUUAGAAAUGACACAGUUCAAUAGCACAAGUUCAUCAAGAGAUAUGUGAUCACUGUGUGCUGACAAAAGAACCUCAAGCCAACAGCAUGGGAACACCAUUUCCUUGCACUGUGAAUUCAGCUUGAUCAACUUCCCCAAAGCUCUCAAGAAAUUAAGAAGCCUUUGUUCAUCUAAAUGAAUAAGAAGAUGUUGAGAAAGAGAAGAAAACUGCUCGUCCAUCAAAAAUUCAUCAACUAACUGCCAUGCAUCUCUGGAAUUCUCCUCAUACAUCAAGUAAACGAAUUGAUCUACAAAAUAUUCUGUGUCAAUUUGCAGUAUUUCACCGUCUUUGACGGAAUCAGCAAGCUCUUCAGAAGACCAGAAGUCUGGGACAUACUCCAGGAAAUUUUCCACAGUCCGCAGAACAUCGAGAUCACGAAAAUAAUGGGGCUUAGUAGCAACAACAGCAGGAGACUGCCCAUGCUUGCCUUUCCACUCAAGCUCUUCCCAACAAAUAUCACGAUUCACAAAUGCAAAUUGAGAAAGUGCCCUAGCACCCUUCUUAUGUGUCAAUUCACCAGUAACCGCAAAGUGACCAAACCACUGCAUUAUCUGCUUUGGAUUCCCUGUAGAACAUAAUAAAUGGAAUCAUCUGGCAUUUCUUUGCUAUAAUAGAACCUGCUUUUUUGGGCUUUUUGUCAAAAAUCAUCCGCAGCAAGCGGGCAGCGACAUCCCGUUUGGAAUUUUUCAUCCCCAAGAGAUUGAGAAACAGGUCCCGCUGGCCAUAUGGGUCGAGCAAAUGAAUGGAUGAGACCGUACUGCAGAGCCACAUCCGAGCCUCAUACCCACCUCCAGACUUUAUAACCGACCUGAUUAUAGGCUCCACCUUGCCAAGAAGAGAUCGCCUUGCUUUUACAGCAUCUGUAUCAACACUACCACCAUCUGUGGUCCCUUGAAAAAAGAGUUGAACCAUCUU
rnacentral:sRNA from 1 species